AUACUCUGGUUUUUCUUCAGAUCGCAUAAAUCUUUCGCCUUUUACUAAAGAUUUCCGUGGAGAGGGAACAUUUAUUGAGUUUGCGAUUAAUUUUUUGAGGCCCUCCUUCGGUAGGGCU
rnacentral:snRNA from 1 species